rnacentral:rRNA from 1 species
AUACGUAGGUGGCGAGCGUUGUCCGGAUUUACUGGGUGUAAAGGGCGCGUAGGCGGGAUAGCAAGUCAGGUGUGAAAUCUAUGGGCUCAACCCAUAAACUGCACUUGAAACUGUUGUUCUUGAGUGUCGGAGAGGUAGAUGGAAUUCCUAGUGUAGCGGUGAAAUGCGUAGAUAUUAGGAGGAACAUCGGUGGCGAAGGCGGCUUACUGGGCCUUUACUGACGCUGAGGCACGAAAGCGUGGGGAGCAAACAGGAUUAGAUACCCUGGUAGUCCACGCUGUAAACGAUGAUGACUAGGUGUGGGGGGACUGAACCCUUCCGUGCCGCAGUUAACACAAUAAGUCAUCCACCUGGGGAUUACGGCCGCAAGGUUGAAACUCAAAGGAAUUGACGGGG